rnacentral:rRNA from 1 species
AUUGAACGCUGGCGGCAGGCCUAACACAUGCAAGUCGAGCGGAUGAAGGGAGCUUGCUCCUGGAUUCAGCGGCGGACGGGUGAGUAAUGCCUAGGAAUCUGCCUGGUAGUGGGGGAUAACGUCCGGAAACGGGCGCUAAUACCGCAUACGUCCUGAGGGAGAAAGUGGGGGAUCUUCGGACCUCACGCUAUCAGAUGAGCCUAGGUCGGAUUAGCUAGUUGGUGGGGUAAAGGCCUACCAAGGCGACGAUCCGUAACUGGUCUGAGAGGAUGAUCAGUCACACUGGAACUGGGACACGGUCCAGACUCCUACGGGAGGCAGCAGUCGGGAAUAUUGGGCAAUGGGCGAAAGCCUGAUCCAGCCAUGCCGAGUGUGUGAAGAAGGUCUUCGGAUUGUAAAGCACUUUAAGUUGGGAGGAAGGGCAGUAAGUUAAUACCUUGCUGUUUUGACGGUACCAACAGAAUAAGCACCGGCUAACUUCGUG